rnacentral:tRNA from 1 species
CCGUGGCUCAGUUGGUAGAGCGGCGCAUUCGUAAUGCGUAGGUCAGGGGUUCGAGUCCCCUCG